rnacentral:tRNA from 1 species
GGGCGUGUAGCUCAGUGGUAGAGCGCGUCACUGAUAAUGACGAGGUCCCAGGUUCAAUCCCUGGCACGCCCA